rnacentral:rRNA from 1 species
UGAGGAAUAUUGGGCAAUGCCCGCAAGGGUGACCCAGCAACGCCGCGUGGAGGAUGAAUGUCGUAAGAUUGUAAACUCCUGUUAGAGGGGAAGAAUAGUACCGGUUGGACCGGUAUAUGACUGUACCCUCAGAGAAAGCCCCGGCUAACUACGUGCCAGCCGCCGCGGUAAUACGUAGGGGGCAAGCGUUGUCCGGAUUUACUGGGUGUCAAGGGCGCGCAGGCGGGAUAAAAAGUCAGUGGUGAAAUCCUACAGCUUAACUGUAGAACUGCCUUUGAUACUUUUAUUCUUGAGUUGGGGAGAGAGAGACGGAAUUCCAGGUGUAGUGGUGAAAUACGUAGAUAUCUGGAAGAACACCCGUUGCGAAGGCGGUCUCUUGGUCCGACACUGACGCUGAGGCGCGAAAGCGUGGGGAGCAAACA